rnacentral:rRNA from 1 species
UAGGGAAUCUUCGGCAAUGGACGAAAGUCUGACCGAGCAACGCCGCGUGAGUGAAGAAGGUUUUCGGAUCGUAAAACUCUGUUGUUAGAGAAGAACAAGGACGUUAGUAACUGAACGUCCCCUGACGGUAUCUAACCAGAAAGCCACGGCUAACUACGUGCCAGCAGCCGCGGUAAUACGUAGGUGGCAAGCGUUGUCCGGAUUUAUUGGGCGUAAAGCGAGCGCAGGCGGUUUCUUAAGUCUGAUGUGAAAGCCCCCGGCUCAACCGGGGAGGGUCAUUGGAAACUGGGAGACUUGAGUGCAGAAGAGGAGAGUGGAAUUCCAUGUGUAGCGGUGAAAUGCGUAGAUAUAUGGAGGAACACCAGUGGCGAAGGCGGCUCUCUGGUCUGUAACUGACGCUGAGGCUCGGAAGCGUGGGGAGCAAACAGG